GAUAAAAUCACCUGGGACUGAACAUUUGCCAUUCUCUUUAGACAGGGCAUACUUUCUCCAAUUUGCCCAGUCCUCAGUACUUCUUAGAGAGAUUUCUUCCAAGCCUACUUCAGGCAUUCAUUAUCUGCCUUCCGUCUGUAAGCAUGUAAGUGAUUCCUAAUUUAGUCCAAGCCCUGCAUUUUAAACUAUUAAAAGGAAAGCUGAGUCAUUUAUAGUGAUGCAUCCAAGCCCUGGGUGUUAUCCACUGAAUGAUUAGAUGCAUCAAAAUGAGUUACUUUUAGACAUUUCAAAAGGUUUUUUAAUAUAGUAAAAGCAUUCUACUAUAAACUUGCACAUCCGUAUGUAUAUAAUAUAAUUACUCAGAUCAACUAUAAUAUGAUUUAUUAUACAAACUAUCUUCCAUAUCACACUUUUCUAAAGGUUGGAUAACAAAAUGUGUAAUAUGUGUUUUCACUAGACACAAGAUGUUCUGUGUAUAUAAGAGAAGCAAACAAAGAGUUUCAAUGUAGACAGUUCUGCCUGGCCGAGAGAAUUGGUUUCUCAAGCAUAUGGAUGGAUCCCUUUCUUCCUUGUUGUCUUUCUGUGAGUUGAUGCUGGAGUGUCUGAUGGUGAGGAAGGAUCAGUGCCUGAGAGAUAUGAAGAUGAGACACCCUGACAUUGGCCUCAGCACUAGAAACUUGUACUAUUUCACAUAGCUCCAAGAAGAAUUAAAAGAACCAAGGAUCUAACCACUCCCAAGCUGCCUUGUAAUCUGAAUCCUUGGAAUUUUCUUGGCCUACUUUUAGCUGAAGUUCUGACUCUGUAUCAGGGAGAGAUUCUUCACUAAAUUGAUCCUUUUCUUGAGAGUGAGCUAACCCAAUAAGCACUGAAAUUCAUUUAAAGGAAAAAUUUGCAUUAACAUUUCUUAUAAUUUUGUAUCAUUUUUACAUGAAAGUGAAUAUUCUCCUCCACUCUAUCCCACACGCACACACAGGGGCACUCAAUUUGGGCAGUUUCUUUUUAAUGUCUAUCAGAUUUACUCUAGGCAAACUGAGAAAACAUAGGAAGCCAGUUUCAGCAUGGUAACAAUAGCUCAUAAGCCCACCUGCCACCAUACACAGGUGCUUUUAUCAAGACGUAAUAGAAUGUUAGAGAACUAAUUACAGUAUCAUUUUUCAAACAUGACACUCUCUAGAAGUUCAGGUUAAUUUAUUCCCUCAAUAAGUAUUUUUCAAAUGCAAACUUGAUGAAUGGCACUGAUCUAUGUGCUAAAGAUGAGGAACAAAAAAUGCAAGAUCAAAACCCUGCCCACCAGUCACUUACUGUCCUGUUAGAGAAAAUUCGUAAUGCAGAAUUGUAUAUGAGUAACAAAGGGACGUAGCUGAAUGAAUGUUAUGGAUGCUACGGUUCCAAGACAGAAGAGCUAACGAAUGCAUUAUUCAUUCUAAAGAUGAGACUUGAGUACAGCCUUGGAGAAUGGGGAAGGAGAAGUAUGAAAAAGGCUUGAGGUCAGAAAUAUGCUUUAUUCAGUUGACAGUGAGGAUUCUCAGCUGUCCAGAGAGGAAGGUUCAUACUGGCAAGAAGUAAAUUCAGUAGGCAGGAGAAAUCUUCAUGGCUAAAAUCUCAUGCAGGGUCAAACUGUCUGGGUUUGAAUUCUGGAUCUAUCACUUACUAGCUGAUGAUUGUACCUCUGAAGUCUCAAAGCAUCUUACAGAGCCAUUUGGGAGAUUUUUUGAGUCCAUUUAUGUAGGGCACAUAGCACAGUUCCUGGCAUAUUAGCGCCACCCUGUAAAUGUCAGCUACUAUCAGUAGAGGUGGUGGAGAACCCUAUAUGAAAUGGAUUUGAAUGCCAAAAUGAGAAGUCAGAACUUGACCUUGUAAGUAAAAUGAAAGCUAUCAUUGUUUUUUUAUUUGUUUUUUAGUGGAUUUGAGAUAUGAUAUAGAUGAUGUUUCAGUAAGAUUGAUCUGGUGGCAUUUAUGGUAGAGGAUGAGUUGGAGAAAGGAAGCAGGAGGACGGGAAGGCAGCUGGGAGGUUACUGGCAUAGUUGGGGCGUGAAGCACUAAAAGUCUGCACAGAGAAAUUUUAAAGAGAAAAAAUCAUUGGGAUACUGGAUCUUAAUCAUUUGGGGUCAUAGGCUUCCUAGUCUAUCUCACAAAAACUAUGGAUCCUCUUCUCACAAAUGUGCAUAUACUGUUGCACACGAGCACAAAAAUCUGCAUGCAAUUUCAGGGGUUCAAGAAGCCCUCCCUUAGAACCCAGAUGUAGGGAAUAAAAGAAAAGGCAGAGAAUGAAUGUACUAUCAUGAAGAAGUACAAUAAUAAUAUAAUAAAAUAAAAACAGCAGUAUGAUAAAGUGAAUCUAAUAGAUUACAUUGGAUAUAUAAUAUUGCUACUUUGUAUUUAUGUUUGGGAACUGUUUCGUAAUUUUAGUUUGCCCCACAGAGAUGGACAUAUUUUUAUAUCUCAACUGUAAUAAUUGUAUUUUCUUUCAUCUUUGAUUUUUUUUCCUAAAAAAUAUUACUUCAUUGAACUGAUCUGUCAAAUGCGACUUUCACACUCAACUGUUAUCACGUGAGCUAAUUACAAUGCUAAUUAGCCCAGUUUACGGGGACUGCUGUGCAUUUGUACACGAGGGUUCUUUGUUUGAUCUGCUACAUCAUAAGCUUACCAGCACGGAGGGAUAGCAUGUAUCGUUGAACGUGGAAGAACACACCUUCAUUUGUGUUAAUGAAGAAAACUACUGAAAACCAACAGACUAAUUAAGGGUAACGAUGAACAAUUUUGAUCAGCAAUUAUUUUUUAAUAUCGAAGUUCGCUCCUGGAAAGAGUAGAAUGGGGAAGUUCAUCUUCCAGCUUUCUACCCAGAAAAGUAGUGAGAGAGAGAUCCUGCUUCAUUUCCAAUUCUUCUCCCACAAACUGUUUUAACAUAUAAUUUAAUCGAUGCCUUUAUUUCAAAAGAAAAAAAUAAUUAUAGAGCUUGUUGGGAUCAUUUUCUGAAGAGAGGACAUUAUGCGUGCAUGAAUUCCAUCGGUGAUCUGAGGAGGAGCAGGCUGCUUGGACCAUUACCCAUCAUUGUCGAACAGCAGAGUAAUUAAUUGGGCAAAUACGUCUAGAUCUGGUGAAUUCACAUGCACAGUAACUGGGCAGCAGCAACACACACUCUUUUACUGUGAAUAAAAUAGCAAUAGUUUUAUGUGCCUUUGUGCUAUGUAAAAUGUCUUUUUUUUUCCUCUUGGCUUUAUCCAUUCCAGAUUAUUUUGUCCAUCUUUAUGUACUCAUUUGAAAAGAGGUUGCUUAUUACAAAGGAAAAAGAUAUCUAGAUGAGCAAGUUUGAAUUCCAUGUCUCUGUUUAUUUUUAAAGGAAUGAAUUGGGUUCAUUAUUCUUUCACUAAUUUUUAAAAUAAUUUAAUAUUUUCACUAAAAUGAGUUAAAUGAGCAUGAGGAAAUAGUAUUUUUUAAACUAGUUCCAGGAAUGGACAAGCUCCUAAAAAAAUUAUUAAGGCCUUCUAAUUACCGUACAAUAUUAAUUCAAAAAUUUAAUUUUUUAUUUAAGUGUCAUCUACAGAGGUAAAAAAUAAGGCACAGCAUUUGUCCUGGAGAAACUUCUUAUAAUAGUCCUCUGUAAAGUAUAGAUAAUCAAACAAUCUAACACUGUUUAUUUGAACAUCAAAAAGUGGACAAAUAUUUAGAGGAAAUAAUAUAAUUGUUUUAAUGCAAAUCAUCUCUGAUGGCUAAGUCCAAAUGUAAUAAGAAAGCUUAGGUUUUGAUUUAAAAGGAAGUCAAUUUUCCAGCAUCUCCCCUUCUGAAGAGGUUAAAUGAUGAUUCUUUUUUUUUUUUUUUCCGAUCACAUUUUAAUCCAGAUGACAGAGGACUUGCACUCCUAAUUCAGACUUUCUGGUAAAGCUCAGCUUGUCACAAUGUAUAGCUUUCUUUUCUUUGAUAAGGUCAGUUUGCCAAAAAGAACAAAGUGCAUAUGAGUAAUACAUUACUCAACCACUUGUAUACAUACAUCUAUUUUUCUUACCAGGUCUCACUAUUCAGAAAGGUACAGACAUGGCACCAUGAUAAAAAGGGUCAUUUAAAAGACUUCGCAGAGGCUCUGUACUGUGAAGGAUUGAAUUUUCACUUGAAUGCCUACAUUUUCACAUCUUUUUCUUUGCAGAAAUAUUCCUUUUGAAUGGCAGACUGCAAUUGGGUAGGUUUUUUUUUUUUUAAGUCACUGACCAGGAAUAUAUAAAAUAUUAGAAGGCAUUUGUCCCAGUGGAAGAACACAGUUCACUACCAGGUACCAGGUGGUUAUUAAGAAAGUUAUACAACUUUAUCUCUUCAGAUUGAAGAGCUCCUUCAGAUAAAAGCCUUAAGUUCAGUCAAGGUGGAAGGAACACUAAGGUCUGUCACUUCUAAAUGACAGACAAUUUAAAUAACUUGUGAAAUCAUUAGCCUCAAAGCCAUCUACCUAGUAAUUUUUCAUAAUCACAUCCAAUGUGUAUUCUUAGGAACACACAAGCAGACUCCAGUUUAUCUUUCUAUCUACUUCAAUAUUUGAUCACAACAUUUUGAGAAAUAUGCUCAUGACUAAUUUUAAAACCUCUAAUUUUUCUUUAAUGGUUUUAUAUUUCCCAAAUACACUUAAAGGGGUGGGGAGGAGAGAAAAGUCUAUUAAAUACACUGAAACUUUUUAAUAUUGGUUACUGGAUUCCCUAAGGAGUUAGUGUAAAUUCAGUUCAGUUGAAUGAAACAGAUAUUUCUUCAUCUCCUACUAUCAGUAUGGUAUUGUGCUGGGAUUACGGGGAGAAAUAGGAAUGAAUAAAGCACCUUCUCUACGCUUAAGGAUUCUAGAAUCUAUAAAAAAAGUAAGGUGCAUAACCAUAAUAAAAGCUAGAAUAUGAUGAAUAAGAACAGAAAGUCACAAAAUUCUGUCAGAAUAUAUCAAUGAGAUUUUGUCUGGCUGUAUCAAGGAUGACAUCAUAGAGGAGAGAGCACUUAAACACUGCCUUGAAAGAUGCAUUCAGUUGGCCUGCAGUGGAGAAGGACAGAAUAGUCUGAUAGAAUUGCUACAUUCUGGAAAGGAAAAUGCCAAGAGAAAAAGCAUCCAGGUGGGAAAAAUGCAGGAAUGUUGGUGUGACAUGGAGUCCAAUAUAAGCGAGACAGAGGGGGAAUAUAAGUUGCUUGAGGAGGAGUGAUGAAAAUCAAGUGUGAACAACUAUGUUGACACUUGAUGUUACUAAGGAGUUUGGUUGUGAUUCUACAGGCAAUUGAGAGCUUCAGAGCAACACAAUGUCUAACAGAACUGUGAUUUGUGUAGCUUGUAAAAUAUUGUUUCUUUCUUCUCAUGUAUAAUUUAUCUGUUUUUUCCUAUACUGUUAACGAUUUUUCUUGAACUUUAAUUCUAUUUUUUUCCCUUUCCUGUUGGAACUAAACCAGAGGACUAUAGAUGUCAUGGACAAUAUAUCCCCCACUCAAGUAUUCAUGUCCAAACUAAAUUGUUAAGAAACUUCACACUAACAAUAAUGAUUUUAUAACUCUAAGUCUAGUGGCAAUUGUGUAUUGUUAUUUUAAAAAAUACUUAGAAUUACUUAAUUACUUCUGAGUUAUGUGGAAUCAGAAAUACAUUUCUUUGAAAGUGAAACAGGAUAUCUUGUUCAUAUUGUAUAACAAAACUGGAUGAAAAGGUAUUUUUUGGGCUUUUAAGAAAUAAACUUGCAAACCUCCC
rnacentral:lncRNA from 10 species